rnacentral:rRNA from 1 species
UACAGAGGGUGCGAGCGUUGUUCGGAAUUAUUGGGCGUAAAGCGCAUGUAGGCGGCGGUUUAAGUCGCGUGUGAAAGCCCCAGGCUCAACCUGGGAAGUGCGCGCGAAACUGGACUGCUUGAGUGCUGGAGAGGGUGGCGGAAUUCCCGGUGUAGAGGUGAAAUUCGUAGAUAUCGGGAGGAACACCAGAGGCGAAGGCGGCCACCUGGACAGACACUGACGCUGAGACGCGAAAGCGUGGGGAGCAAACAGG